UUUGGUUAAGUUAGAAAGGGCGCACGGUGGAUGCCUUGACACUAGGAGUCGAUGAAGGACGGGACUAACGCCGAUAUGCUUCGGGGAGCUGUAAGUAAGCUUUGAUCCGAAGAUUUCCGAAUGGGGAAACCCACCAUACGUAAUGGUAUGGUAUCCUUAUCUGAAUACAUAGGGUAAGGAAGACAGACCCAGGGAACUGAAACAUCUAAGUACCUGGAGGAAGAGAAAGCAAAUGCGAUUUCCUGAGUAGCGGCGAGCGAAACGGAACAUAGCCCAAACCAAGAGGCUUGCCUCUUGGGGUUGUAGGACAUUCUAUACGGAGUUACAAAGGAACGAGGUAGACGAAGCGACCUGGAAAGGUCCGUCGUAGAGGGUAACAACCCCGUAGUCGAAACUUCGUUCUCUCUUGAAUGUAUCCUGAGUACGGCGGAACACGUGAAAUUCCGUCGGAAUCUGGGAGGACCAUCUCCCAAGGCUAAAUACUCCCUAGUGAUCGAUAGUGAACCAGUACCGUGAGGGAAAGGUGAAAAGCACCCCGGAAGGGGAGUGAAAGAGAUCCUGAAACCGUGUGCCUACAAAUAGUCAGAGCCCGUUAACGGGUGAUGGCGUGCCUUUUGUAGAAUGAACCGGCGAGUUACGAUCCCGUGCGAGGUUAAGCUGAAGAGGCGGAGCCGCAGCGAAAGCGAGUCUGAAUAGGGCGUUUAGUACGUGGUCGUAGACCCGAAACCAGGUGAUCUACCCAUGUCCAGGGUGAAGUUCAGGUAACACUGAAUGGAGGCCCGAACCCACGCACGUUGAAAAGUGCGGGGAUGAGGUGUGGGUAGCGGAGAAAUUCCAAUCGAACCUGGAGAUAGCUGGUUCUCCCCGAAAUAGCUUUAGGGCUAGCCUUAAGUGUAAGAGUCUUGGAGGUAGAGCACUGAUUGGACUAGGGGUCCUCAUCGGAUUACCGAAUUCAGUCAAACUCCGAAUGCCAAUGACUUAUCCUUAGGAGUCAGACUGCGAGUGAUAAGAUCCGUAGUCAAAAGGGAAACAGCCCAGACCGCCAGCUAAGGUCCCAAAGUGUGUAUUAAGUGGAAAAGGAUGUGGAGUUGCUUAGACAACUAGGAUGUUGGCUUAGAAGCAGCCACCAUUUAAAGAGUGCGUAAUAGCUCACUAGUCGAGUGACUCUGCGCCGAAAAUGUACCGGGGCUAAAUACACCACCGAAGCUGCGGAUUGAUACCAAUGGUAUCAGUGGUAGGGGAGCGUUCUAAGGACAGUGAAGUCAGACCGUAAGGACUGGUGGAGUGCUUAGAAGUGAGAAUGCCGGUAUGAGUAGCGAAAGACGGGUGAGAAUCCCGUCCACCGAAUGCCUAAGGUUUCCUGAGGAAGGCUCGUCCGCUCAGGGUUAGUCAGGACCUAAGCCGAGGCCGACAGGCGUAGGCGAUGGACAACAGGUUGAUAUUCCUGUACCACCUCUUUAUCGUUUGAGCAAUGGAGGGACGCAGAAGGAUAGAAGAAGCGUGCGAUUGGUUGUGCACGUCCAAGCAGUUAGGCUGAUAAGUAGGCAAAUCCGCUUAUCAUAAAGGCUGAGCUGUGAUGGGGAAGCUCCUUAUGGAGCGAAGUCUUUGAUUCCCCGCUGCCAAGAAAAGCUUCUAGCGAGAUAAAAGGUGCCUGUACCGCAAACCGACACAGGUAGGCGAGGAGAGAAUCCUAAGGUGUGCGAGAGAACUCUGGUUAAGGAACUCGGCAAAAUGACCCCGUAACUUCGGGAGAAGGGGUGCUUUCUUAACGGAAAGCCGCAGUGAAUAGGCCCAAGCGACUGUUUAGCAAAAACACAGCUCUCUGCGAAGCCGUAAGGCGAAGUAUAGGGGGUGACACCUGCCCGGUGCUGGAAGGUUAAGGAGAGGGGUUAGCGUAAGCGAAGCUCUGAACUGAAGCCCCAGUAAACGGCGGCCGUAACUAUAACGGUCCUAAGGUAGCGAAAUUCCUUGUCGGGUAAGUUCCGACCCGCACGAAAGGUGUAACGAUUUGGGCACUGUCUCAACCAGAGACUCGGUGAAAUUAUAGUACCUGUGAAGAUGCAGGUUACCCGCGACAGGACGGAAAGACCCCGUGGAGCUUUACUGUAGCCUGAUAUUGAAUUUUGGUACAGUUUGUACAGGAUAGGCGGGAGCCAUUGAAACCGGAGCGCUAGCUUCGGUGGAGGCGCUGGUGGGAUACCGCCCUGACUGUAUUGAAAUUCUAACCUACGGGUCUUAUCGACCCGGGAGACAGUGUCAGGUGGGCAGUUUGACUGGGGCGGUCGCCUCCUAAAGUGUAACGGAGGCGCCCAAAGGUUCCCUCAGAAUGGUUGGAAAUCAUUCGUAGAGUGCAAAGGCAUAAGGGAGCUUGACUGCGAGACCUACAAGUCGAGCAGGGACGAAAGUCGGGCUUAGUGAUCCGGUGGUUCCGCAUGGAAGGGCCAUCGCUCAACGGAUAAAAGCUACCCCGGGGAUAACAGGCUUAUCUCCCCCAAGAGUCCACAUCGACGGGGAGGUUUGGCACCUCGAUGUCGGCUCAUCGCAUCCUGGGGCUGUAGUCGGUCCCAAGGGUUGGGCUGUUCGCCCAUUAAAGCGGUACGCGAGCUGGGUUCAGAACGUCGUGAGACAGUUCGGUCCCUAUCCGUCGUGGGCGUAGGAAAUUUGAGAGGAGCUGUCCUUAGUACGAGAGGACCGGGAUGGACGCACCGCUGGUGUACCAGUUGUUCUGCCAAGGGCAUAGCUGGGUAGCUAUGUGCGGAAGGGAUAAGUGCUGAAAGCAUCUAAGCAUGAAGCCCCCCUCAAGAUGAGAUUUCCCAUAGCGUAAGCUAGUAAGAUCCCUGAAAGAUGAUCAGGUUGAUAGGUUCGAGGUGGAAGCAUGGUGACAUGUGGAGCUGACGAAUACUAAUAGAUCGAGGUCUUAAGCAUAUAA
rnacentral:rRNA from 1 species